rnacentral:lncRNA from 1 species
UUGGCUUCUUCCUGCAUGUGCAAUGUGUUACUAACAAAACAGUUCAGCUUCUCUAAUUCGAGUUGGUGAUUUUAUUACAGUGUAAAUCAUGGUGUACAUGAAAGAUAUAAGUAUGUCUCCAGCUUGACAUUGUAUGAACAUGGGUACAUGCAUGCUGAUGUGAGUGUUUUCUGGUUAUCUGAAUCGCAAUCAAAUGGCAUAGAUAGAUACUGAACAUGGUUACAUGGAAAAAUGAUGCUUACAUUGCCUCCAGAUAGCUUCAUUCAGAUCAAGCAGAAACGCUUUGCAUUCUCUGCAACGAUGCUGCCAACUAAUGACUCGCAUGAGUCUUCCAGCAGAUCCAACACCAGAAAAAUAUCGUGCAACGAUAGCUGUCCCCUUCCUCCCCACCACCGCCGCCCUCUCGCGCGCCGGCCGCCGCCUGCCUUCUCUUUCCCCGUCGCCGCCUGCACUACGACAAAACCGGCCGACGGACUGAUUGGUGGGGAUGGCAGCGAGGGACGGCGCGGUGCUGAAGCCGGUGCUGAGCGGGUUGUCGAUGAAGCCGGUGCCGAGCGGUGAACGACUCCGAGAGGCACGCGCCACCCCGCGGCGGUCGACGUCAACCUCAUCCUCGCCGCCCGAGACGGGGACUUAAACGACGCGAGACGGCCUCGCCUCCACCUCCACGCCCAACGCCGCGGCGCCCGCUCGCGCGGGGCCACUUCGCUGACGGCGGCGACGCAGCGUCGCCGACGCCAUUCGCGACCGGCCACUGCCGCCGCCGCCGGCCGGCUUGCC